rnacentral:pre_miRNA from 1 species
AGUGCUUGGCUCCUAGUAGGUGUUCAGUAAGUGUUUGUGACAUAAUUCGUUUAUUGAGCACCUCCUAUCAAUCAAGCACUGUGCUAGGUUCUGG